rnacentral:rRNA from 1 species
UAUAAAUUCUCAACGAUGGAUAUCUUGGUUCCCACAACGAUGAAGAACGCAGCGAAGUGCGAUAAGCAAUGCGAAUUGCAGAACCGUGAGUCAUCAGAUUUUUGAACGCAAUUGGCACUGGGUGGAACCCCAUCCAGUAUGUUUGUUUCAGUG